GUCCACGCCGUAAACGAUGGGUGCUAGGUGUGGGGGGUGUCGACUCCCUCCGUGCCGAAGCUAACGCAUUAAGCACCCCGCCUGGGGAGUACGGCCGCAAGGCUAAAACUCAAAGGAAUUGACGGGGGCCCGCACAAGCAGCGGAGCAUGUGGUUCAAUUCGACGCAACGCGAAGAACCUUACCAAGGCUUGACAUGCACAGGAAUGUCGUAGAAAUACGGCAGCCCUUCGGGGCCUGUGCACAGGUGGUGCAUGGCUGUCGU
rnacentral:rRNA from 1 species